rnacentral:snoRNA from 14 species
UAUUAUUAGUCCUAAGAAAGCAUCAGUGUAUAGCCAUGGGAUCUCCAACUGCAUGCCAGAGUAACGGAGAGACUUUGACAGCCCAGGUUAUCACAGUGCCUGCUGUUGCCACUCAGCUCUCCUAUAUGU